UCUGGGCGCAGUGGCUCACACCUGUGAUCCCAGCAGUUUGGGAGGCCAAGGUGGGCAGAUCACCUGAGGUCGAGAGUUUGAGACCAGUCUGACCAACGUGGAGAAACCCCGUCUCUACUAAAAAUACAAAGUUAGCCGGGCAUGGUGGCACAUGCCUGUAAUCCCAGCUACUUGGUUCAAGCGAUUCCCCUGUGUCAGCCACCCAAGUAGCUGGGAUUACAGGCAUGCACCACCAUGCCCGGCUAAUUUUGUAUUUUUAGUAGAGACGGGGUUUCUCCAUGUUGGUCAGGCUGGUCUCAAACUCCCGACCUCAGGUGAUCUGCCCACCUU
ensembl:misc_RNA Metazoa_SRP Metazoan signal recognition particle RNA